GCGGAAAUGGAACACCAUAGUUUAAACACCAUAGCGUUGACGAUUUGGAAUUUGUUGAGGAACAGAAGAAAUCCGCUAAAAGAACUGGUGAAAUAGCCUCUUUUAUAUCCAGAAAGUUUAUUUCUUCUGCUGAUAUGUAAGUCUUAAAUUUGAUAGUAGGAUGGUGGUGUUUUGGACAUAUGGUGGCAAAGAAAUUCUUUAAAUUCUUCUUGACAGUCUUCUUCUGCCAACUUUCUUUUGUCUUUUCACGCCAUAAGAAAUUCCCACAUGACCCCCAUGCAAACCUUUCUUUCACCUAGUGUUGCUCAAGGCCCAAAACUUAUUCGUGGACGAAGAAAUUGAAGCACUCGUAACGAGGGCGUGCUCUCACGCUAGUCUAAGUUUGGAGCUGGGGCUGAACGUCAUUAUAUUUUGAGAAGCCUGAAAACAUUCCUGUGAUGUUCUCACACUUACAAGCAUAUGAAAUAUUGUUUCAUUAAAUUAAUGCAGACAUGACCAGGAAAGUGGCCUGUUCCUAUCUGGACCAUUUUGGCACUCCAAAAGGUUAUGGCCAAGGAUGAUGAAGGGAAUCCCAUCAAAUUCCAGAUGCACUCCCUUGCUUUUCCUGGGCAUCUUUCCAGUAAAAGUGAUGCCUGAUUGAACUACUUUUUGUCGACUCUGCGUUUUCUGUAUUUACUGUUGCAUUUGAUUAGCCUAUUAAAAUAAUUGAUAUAUUGUUUA